UAUUGUUUAGAAUAGGAAGGGAGGUAGACAGCGGAGCUUUGGACUUGUCUUUAAGUCCAAUUUGCCUUUAAAAGAGUAGUUAGUAAGCCAUCUUUUAUAACGUCUGUGCUGGGCUGAAAACAAGGGACAGUAAUAGCAGAUGCAGUGUUGAGAUAAAAUUGAGAGGCACUACUUCCUGAAGAACCCUCUGUCUUGGUUUGCUACUGAGCCUAGUUCCUCAUGGGAAAAGAAGAAAGACCUAGAUUUUGUGUUUGCUUCAUCUUUGUCAGCUCAAGAUCAUUCCAAUGUGUCUUACGAGAUCUCAGACUUCGAGAAAAGCGAUUCUUGGAAUGCCAUCUGGAUAACCAUGAGAUGUGUCCAGACAGACACAUUGCGGAUUAUCUCCAGGAAGGAAGAAAAGUAGGAGAAAGUCUCAGAACUAUUUAUACAAUUACACUGCAGGCUUGGGCCUGGAAAAUAAGAAACUAGGACUUCAGAGUAUUUGCUUGCAUCUCUUCUUUCCUGCAUUUCAUGAAGUUUAAAUUAUAACCACCUGCUUCAGAAGAUAUAAAAAUCCUGAAUUCCACCAUUUUAUUUCAUGUACUAGACUCCAAUUUUCUCU